rnacentral:rRNA from 1 species
AUUGAACGCUGGCGGCAGGCCUAACACAUGCAAGUCGAGCGGAUGAAGGGAGCUUGCUCCUGGAUUCAGCGGCGGACGGGUGAGUAAUGCCUAGGAAUCUGCCUGGUAGUGGGGGAUAACGUCCGGAACCGGGCGCUAAUACCCCAUACGUCCGAGGGGGAAAAGUGGGGGAUCUUCGGACCUCCCGCUAUAAGAUGAGCCUAGGUCGGAUUAGCUAGUUGGUGGGUUAAAGGCCUACCAAGGCGACGAUCCGUAACUGGUCUGAGAGGAUGAUCAGUCACACUGGAACUGAGACACGGUCCAGACUCCUACGGGAGGCAGCAGUGGGGAAUAUUGGACAAUGGGCGAAAGCCUGAUCCAGCCAUGCCGCGUGUGUGAAGAAGGUCUUCGGAUUGUAAAGCACUUUAAGUUGGGAGGAAGGGCAGUAAGUUAAUACCUUGCUGUUUUGACGUUACCAACAGAAUAAGCACCGGCUAACUUCGUG